rnacentral:miRNA from 1 species
UUUAAAAAAUAAGUAUGUCUCAUACAAUAUUUGGGAUAUACUUACACUAAAA